CAGCCAGACUCCUACGGGAGGCAGCAGUGGGGAAUAUUGCACAAUGGGCGCAAGCCUGAUGCAGCCAUGCCGCGUGUAUGAAGAAGGCCUUCGGGUUGUAAAGUACUUUCAGCGGGGAGGAAGGCGAUAAGGUUAAUAACCUUGUUGAUUGACGUUACCCGCAGAAGAAACACCGGCUAACUCCGUGCCAGCAGCCGCGGGAAUACGGAGGGUGCAAGCGUUAAUCGGAAUUUCUGGGCGUAAAGCGCACGCAGGCGGUCUUUCAAGUCGGAUGUGAAAUCCCCGGGCUCAACCUGGGGACUGCAUUCGAAACUGGCAGGCUGGAGUCUUGUAGAGGGGGGUAGAAUUCCAGGUGUAGCGGUGAAAUGCGUAGAGAUCUGGAGGAAUACCGGUGGCGAAGGCGGCCCCCUGGGCAAAGACUGCCGCUCAGGUGCGAAAGCGUGGGGAGCAAACAGGAUUAGAUACCCCAGUAC
rnacentral:rRNA from 1 species